GGUGGUGUACGAAUAAGGGCUGGGCAAGACCGGUGCCAGCCGCCGCGGUAAUACCGGCAGCCCGAGUGAUGGCCGAUAUUAUUGGGCCUAAAGCGUCCGUAGCUGGCCGGACAAGUCCGUUGGGAAAUCUGUUCGCUUAACGAGCAGGCGUCCAGCGGAAACUGUUCGGCUUGGGACCGGAAGACCUGAGGGGUACGUCCGGGGUAGGAGUGAAAUCCUGUAAUCCUGGACGGACCACCGGUGGCGAAAGCGCCUCAGGAGGACGGAUCCGACAGUGAGGGACGAAAGCUAGGGUCUCGAACCGGAUUAGAUACCCGGGUAGUCCUAGCUGUAAACGAUGCCCGCUAGGUGUGGCGCAGGCUACGAGCCUGCGCUGUGCCGUAGGGAAGCCGAGAAGCGGGCCGCCUGGGAAGUACGUCUGCAAGGAUGAAACUUAAAGGAAUUGGCGGGGGAGCACUACAACCGGAGGAGCCUGCGGUUUAAUUGGACUCAACGCCGGACAUCUCACCAGCUCCGACAGUAGUAAUGACGGUCAGGUUGAUGACCUUACCCGAUGCUACUGAGAGGAGGUGCAUGGCCGCCGUCAGCUCGUACCGUGAGGCGUCCUGUUAAGUCAGGCAACGAGCGAGACCCGCACUCCUAAUUGCCAGCAGUACCCUUUGGGUAGCUGGGUACAUUAGGUGGACUGCCGCUGCUAAAGCGGAGGAAGGAACGGGCAACGGUAGGUCAGUAUGCCCCGAAUGAGCUGGGCAACACGCGGGCUACAAUGGUCGAGACAAUGGGAUGCAACUCCGAGAGGAGGCGCUAAUCUCCUAAACUCGAUCGUAGUUCGGAUUGAGGGCUGAAACUCGCCCUCAUGAAGCUGGAUUCGGUAGUAAUCGCGUGUCAGAAGCGCGCGGUGAAUACGUCCCUGCUCCUUGCACACACCGCCCGUCAAAGCACCCGAGUGG
rnacentral:rRNA from 1 species